AUUGAACGCUGGCGGCAGGCCUAACACAUGCAAGUCGAGCGGAUGAAGGGAGCUUGCUCCUGGAUUCAGCUGCGGACGGGUGAGUAAUGCCUAGGAAUCUGCCUGGUAGUGGGGGAUAACGUCCGGACACGGGCGCUAAUACCGCAUACGUCCUGAGGGAGAAAGUGGGGGAUCUUCGGACCUCACGCUAUCAGAUGAGCCUAGGUCGGAUUAGCUAGUUGGUGGGGUAAAGGCCUACCAAGGCGACGAUCCGUAACUGGUCUGAGAGGAUGAUCAGUCACACUGGAACUGAGACACGGUCCAGACUCCUACGGGAGGCAGCAGUGGGGAAUAUUGGACAAUGGGCGAAAGCCUGAUCCAGCCAUGCCGCGUGUGUGAAGAAGGUCUUCGGAUUGUAAAGCACUUUAAGUUGGGAGGAAGGGCAGUAAGUUAAUACCUUGCUGUUUUGACGUUACCAACAGAAUAAGCACCGGCUAACUUCGUG
rnacentral:rRNA from 1 species